rnacentral:rRNA from 1 species
UGGGGGAUAUUGCACAAUGGGCGAAAGCCUGAUGCAGCGACUCCGCGUGGGGGAUGAAGGCCUUCGGGUUGUAAACUUCUUUUGCUCUGAACAAGGCAUGCCUUUGGGGUGUGUUGAGUGUAGGGGUUGAUUAGCGCCGGCUACCUACGUUCCAGCAGCCGCGGUAAUACGUAGGGCGCGAGCGUUGUCCGGAAUUAUUGGGCGUAAAGGGCUUGUAGGUGGCUGGUUGCGUCUGUCGUGAAAGCUCAUGGCUUAACUGUGGGUUUGCGGUGGGUACGGGCUGGAUUGAGUGCAGUAGGGGAGGCUGGAAUUCCUGGUGUAGCGGUGGAAUGCGCAGAUAUCAGGAGGAAUACCGGUGGCGAAGGCGGGUCUCUGGGCUGUUACUGACGCUGAGGAGCGAAAGCGUGGGGAGCGAACAGG